rnacentral:rRNA from 1 species
GCUCAGGACGAACGCUGGCGGCGCGCCUAACACAUGCAAGUCGAACGAGCGAGAGAGAGCUUGCUUUCUCGAGCGAGUGGCGAACGGGUGAGUAACGCGUGAGGAACCUGCCUCAAAGAGGGGGACAACAGUUGGAAACGACUGCUAAUACCGCAUAAGCCCACAGGUCGGCAUCGACCAGAGGGAAAAGGAGCAAUCCGCUUUGAGAUGGCCUCGCGUCCGAUUAGCUAGUUGGUGAGGUAAUGGCCCACCAAGGCGACGAUCGGUAGCCGGACUGAGAGGUUGAACGGCCACAUUGGGACUGAGACACGGCCCAGACUCCUACGGGAGGCAGCAGUA